UAGGUGGCAGGCGCUCCGCUAGUACCGGGCGAGCGCGCGGCGGAGCACCUGCGCGAGGAGGCCGGGGGCGCUGAGGUGCGGGAGGUGGCCCUCGGUCUGGAGGAACUCGACGGCGGUGCGGCCGCCGAGGUGGGCCUUGAGGUAGGCGGCGACGGAGGCCGGGACGGAGACGUCGCGGGUGGUCUGCACCACCACGCAGGGGGACCGCACCAUGCCCAGCACGCCGCGGAGGUCGGUGUUGAACACGGUGCGGCACACGUGGAGGGAGAUGUCCG
rnacentral:lncRNA from 1 species